rnacentral:rRNA from 1 species
GUUUGAUCAUGGCUCAGAUUGAACGCUGGCCGGACGCUUUACACAUGCAAAUCAGUGUAACCAGCACGGACUUCGGUCUGGUGCGGCAGGUGGCGAACCGGUGGAAAUGGCCUGUCGGGGCGUGCUGGUAGCGUGAGACCAGCACGCAAGCGCGGCACCAGCCUGUAUACGCCCCUUCGACCGGGGGAUGCCGGGCCUCGCAUAUUAAGGAAGCAUGAUAUCUGGAUUAAAUAGUUGGUGAACAACGGCUCUAUAAAGCGACGAUCGUGAACUGGUUUGGGAGGACGAUGACUGCCGGAACCGUUUGCGGCGCGGCUCCUGCGGAGAAACGCGUAGUGCUGAUUGACAAUGGAAACCUGAUCCAGCCAUCCACGUCGUGAUGAAGGCGCUGGUUAAAAACGCUGGCGGAAAAGAGCGGCACGGGAUGGCCUGCUGGUGGCAUGAGCGGUACCUGCAGAAUGGCAUGCGGCUAACUGCGACGCCGGCGGCCGCGGUGUCGCGUAGGGUGCCAGCGAUUCGUCGGAUACUGGGCGUGUGAUAUGCGCGGGCGGUUCGGAAGAAGAUGUGAAAUCCCCGAGCUUAACUUUGGAACUGCAUUUUUAACUACCGAGCUAGAGUGUGUCAGAGGGAGUGGAAUUCCGCGUGUAGCAGUGAUGGCCGAUCUGGAGAGCCUCCGAUGGCGAAGGCAGCCUCCUGGGAUAACACGCCGAGCGCUCAUGCGCGAAAGCGUGGGGAGCAAACAGGAUUAGAUACCCUGGUAGUCCACGCCUAAACGAUGUCAACUAGCUGUUGGGGCCUUCGGGCCUUGGUAGCGCAGCUAACGCGUGAAGUUGACCGCCUGGGAAGUACGGUGCCAAGAUUAAAACUCAAAGGAAUUGACGGGGACCCGCACAAGCGGUGGAUGAUGUGGAUUAAUUCGAUGCAACGCGAAAAACCUUACCUACCCUUGACAUGUCUGAAUCUCCCGAAGAGAUUUGGGAGUGCUCGCAAGAGAACCGGAACACAGGUGCUGCAUGGCUGUCGUCAGCUCGUGUCGUGAGAUGUUGGGUUAGAGUCCGCAACGAGCGCAACCCUUGUCAUUAGUUGCUACGAAAGGGCACUCUAAUGAGACUGCCGGUGACAAACCGGAGGAAGGUGGGGAUGACGUCAAGUCCUCAUGGCCCAUAUGGGUAGGGCUUCACACGUCAUACAAUGGUCGGGACAGAGGGUCGCCAACCCGCGAGGAGCCAAUCCCAGAAGAAACCCGAUCGUGAGUCCGGAUCGCAGUCUGCAACUCGACUGCGUGAAGUCGGAAUCGCUAGUAAUCGCGGAUCAGCAUGUCGCGGUGAAUACGUUCCCGGGUCUUGUACACGCCGCCCGUCACACCAUGGGAGUGGGUUUUACCAAAAUGGUUAGCCUAACCGUAAGGAGGGCGAUUACCACGGUAGGAUUCAUGGCUGGGUGAAGUCGUAACUAAAGGUAACAAUGCUACCAGUGCUCACAG